rnacentral:rRNA from 1 species
UACGUAGGGGGCAAGCGUUGUCCGGAAUUAUUGGGCGUAAAGAGCGUGUAGGCGGCCAGAUAAGUCCGCUGUGAAACCUCGAGGCUCAACCUCGAGCCUGCAUUCGAUACUGGGCGGCUAGAGUCUGGUAGGGGGAUCGUGGAAUUCCUGGUGUAGCGGUGGAAUGCGCAGAUAUCAGGAGGAACACCGGUGGCGAAGGCGGGACCUGAGCCGGAACUGACGCUGAGGAGCGAAAGCGUGGGUGAGCAAACAGG